rnacentral:pre_miRNA from 1 species
GCGCCACCACCGCGCCGUGACGUCACAGAGAUGAGUUCGUGUAUACGAACUCAUCUCUAUACGAACUCAUCUCUGUGACGUCACGGCGCGGUGGUGGCGC